AGAGUUUGAUCCUGGCUCAGGAUGAACGCUAGCGGCAGGCUUAACACAUGCAAGUCGAGGAGUAACAGGGGAGCUUGCUCCCGCUGACGACCGGCGCACGGGUGAGUAACGCGUAUGCAACCUACCUCUAACUGGGGCAUAGCUCUCGGAAACGGGAAUUAAUACCCCAUAAUAUCACAGAUUCUCAUGUUUUUGUGAUUAAAGCUCCGGCGGUUAGAGAUGGGCAUGCGUGCCAUUAGCUUGUUGGUGAGGUAAUAGCUCACCAAGGCUUCGAUGGCUAGGGGGUCUGAGAGGAUGAUCCCCCACACUGGUACUGAGACACGGACCAGACUCCUACGGGAGGCAGCAGCAGGAAUAUUGGUCAAUGGACGCAAGUCUGAACCAGCCAUGCCGCGUGAAGGAUGAAUGCCCUACGGGUUGUAAACUUCUUUUAUACAGGAAGAAACUUCUGAUCGUGAUCAGAACUGACGGUACUGUACGAAUAAGCAUCGGCUAACUCCGUGCCAGCAGCCGCGGUAAUACGGAGGAUGCAAGCGUUAUCCGGAUUUAUUGGGUUUAAAGGGUGCGUAGGCGGAAAAAUUAGUCAGUGGUGAAAUCCUGCGGCUUAACCGUAGAAUUGCCAUUGAUACUGUUUUUCUUGAGUAUAGUUGAGGUGGGCGGAAUGUGUAAUGUAGCGGUGAAAUGCUUAGAUAUUACACAGAACACCGAUUGCGUAGGCAGCUCACUAAGCUAUUACUGACGCUGAGGCACGAAAGCGUGGGGAGCGAACAGGAUUAGAUACCCUGGUAGUCCACGCCGUAAACUAUGAUCACUCGUUGUUGGCGAUACACAGUCAGUGACUAAGCGAAAGCAUUAAGUGAUCCACCUGGGGAGUACGAUCGCAAGAUUGAAACUCAAAGGAAUUGACGGGGGCCCGCACAAGCGGAGGAACAUGUGGUUUAAUUCGAUGAUACGCGAGGAACCUUACCUGGGCUUAAAUGCAGGACGACAGACCGGGAAACUGGUCUUUCUUCGGACGGACUGCAAGGUGCUGCAUGGUUGUCGUCAGCUCGUGCCGUGAGGUGUCGGGUUAAGUCCCAUAACGAGCGCAACCCUUAUCGUUAGUUACCAGCGAGUUAUGUCGGGAACUCUAACGAAACUGCCGGUGUAAACCGUGAGGAAGGUGGGGAUGACGUCAAAUCAGCACGGCCCUUAUGACCAGGGCUACACACGUGUUACAAUGGCCAGUACAAAGGGCAGCUAUCCGGCGACGGAAUGCUAAUCUCUAAAACUGGUCUCAGUUCGGAUUGAAGUCUGCAACUCGACUUCAUGAAGCUGGAUUCGCUAGUAAUCGCGCAUCAGCCAUGGCGCGGUGAAUACGUUCCCGGGCCUUGUACACACCGCCCGUCAAGCCAUGGAAGCUGGGGGUACCUAAAGUCUGUAACCGCAAGGAGCGGCCUAGGGUAAAACUAGUGACUGGGGCUAAGUCGUAACAAGGUA
rnacentral:rRNA from 1 species